rnacentral:rRNA from 1 species
UAGGGAAUCUUCCACAAUGGGCGCAAGCCUGAUGGAGCAACGCCGCGUGAGUGAAGAAGGUCUUCGGAUCGUAAAACUCUGUUGUUAGAGAAGGACAUGCGAGAGAGUAACUGUUCUUGUAUUGACGGUAUCUAACCAGAAAGCCACGGCUAACUACGUGCUAG